AGUUUAAUAGAAGUUCCACAUAUCUUGAAAACAAAACUAAUAUUUGAGGAGCUUAUGGGAGGGAAAACUCUAUUGCCUUCAUUCCCUACCCAAGACAUAAAAGGCACAGGAGAGAAAGUGAAGAGGGUUUGGCUUUUUUGAGACACAAAUUUCAUUAUUUUUCAGUUUGGGACAAUAAUUGUUUUCUUUCCUAAUAUCUAAAAUUGUAAACAAUUAAAAUAUUAUGUCAGUAACAAGUGUAAAAUAUUCUGGCAAAUCAAUAUCUUUACUUAACACAAUCUCUGGAGUCCAUUACUUAUUACUUUGUCGUAUGAUUGGGUUCCUGCUGAAUCUCACCAAAUCGCACCAAAAGGGUGACAAAACAACUUCCUGUAAGCAAAGGACAAACAGUUAAGUAAGGGCUCCAGCUGGGUGAACUAUGGGGCAUUUGCCCGGAGUUCAUGCUCAGCAUCAGGGUCAAAGCAAAGGGAACUCUGACAAUGAUUCC
ensembl:lncRNA novel transcript